rnacentral:lncRNA from 1 species
CUCAGCUACUCCUGAGACCAAUAAACCCAUUUCUUCUUCCUAGUGUCUGGAUAUCCCAAAUCUCCUGAAACACAUUGGCUUCUAAUGCCCUUCUGUCAGUUCAAUUUCUCAGGAUCCCACCUGUGAUGGUUAAUAUUGAGUUUCAACUUGAUUGGACUGAAGGAUGCAAACUAUUGUUCCUAGGUGGUCUGUGAGCUUGUUGCCAAAAGAGAUUAACAUUUGAGUCAGUUGACUGGGAAAGGCAGACCCACCCUCAAUCUGGGUGUGCACCAUCUAAUCAGAUGUCAGCACGGCCAGGUAGAAGCAGGCAGACAAACGUGGAAAGAAUAGACUGGCUAAGUCUUCUGGCCUCCAUCUUUCUACUGUGCUGGGUGCUUCCUACCCUCGAACAUCAGACUAGAAGUUCUUCAGCUUUUGGACUCUUGGACUUACACCAGUGAUUUGCCAGGGGCUUUCUGGCCUUUGGCCACGGAUUGAAGGCUGCACUACUGGCUUCUCUACUUUUGAUGUUUUGGGACUUGGACUGGCUUCCUGGUUCUGCAGCUUGCAGACGGCCUAUCAUGGGACUUCACCUCGUGAUCGUGAAUUGUCUGGAAUUUUUGUGGAAUCAUGAGAAAAUUUGAACACAAAUAUCUCCCGUGGACUAACUGAGCAAGAACUCAUUUAUCACCAAGGGGAUGGUGCCAAGCCAUUCAUGAGGGAUCUGCGCCUGUGAUCCGAACACCUUCCACUAGGCUCCACUUCCAACACUGGGAAUCACAUUUCAACAUGAGAGUUGGAGUUGACAAAUGUCCAAACCAUGUCUCCAUCCAACCAUCUAUACAGGACAGGACUAAGAGAAAGGCAGAGAUUCAUGGCUUUUUAAAAUGGUAUUUAUGGUUAUUCCCUCCUCCACCUCAUCCCUAACUUACCGGAAGACAAAAUGACAUGGGAAGAAGAGGAAAGUUGUUAGAAGGGGAGCUCUAGACAGCCAGGAAAGCUGGAGUCACAAGUGGACAAGGAGACCCAUGGAAGCGACUCAUGAUAGAAAUGGUUCUCCUUUGGUCAUCUGCAAACUUUACCCAACAAUGGUAUCUCCUGGUAUCGUAUGAAAUAAAACCAGAAGUCUGGUAUUUUGGUCCCAGCUGUUAAGACUUCUGCCUGGAUUAAGCCUUCUUUUCCAUCUCUCUGAGGGGCCACCCUGCUCAGAUUUCUCACACUUGGGCAACCUGCCUUGAUAUGUGAAUCUUACUUAGGAAAACAGACAAUUUUCUCUGGUCACUAUCUCAGCCCACAAGGGAGAUUUAGCAUUUUUAGUCGACCCUCUUCUGCCACAAUCCUAGAAGCUUGCAAAUAUGAAUUUAUAUCUGUAGAUAUAUAUCAUCUAUCUAUCCACCCAUCCAUCUAUCUAAAUGUAUAUUCUAACUAUCACAAAUAUGUUUCCACUGUGUAAUUUUCGCAUAACAAUCUACACACAUAAAUAAGAUACACAUAGUAUUUCAGAACUCAUUUGAUUCACUGUGAAAUCUAAAGGUAGGGAAACCUUUACUGAGUGAAGGUUUCUCUUAAAAGCCAUCUCUCCCAAAACUAAUCCCAUCAAAAAAUGUAACAGACUAUAUCAAUUUUAACAACAGUAAUGAAUAUUUAUGGAAUGCUUAAUAAAUUAUUUAUUAUUUGAAAAACUGUUAUACACAGAACCUUUUAACACUAUGGGGAAAAUCUUACAAAUAAGCAUUAGUCAUCUUCCAUAUGCGUUAAGAGUAAGCUGUUUUGCAUGUGUUGCAAUUUACCUUUCCUCUAAAAAUAGAAUAAGAAAACUUUCAGGCUAAAGAUAACACUAAUGAAUAAUUAAAUAUACAAUAAGAAAUCUGUGGCUUUAAAAUACACUUUACAUGUAAUACAUGUACACAUUUAAUACAUCAUAAGAAUAUAAUCAAAAUACAUUAUUCUCAUCAGUCUGUAUAAAUUGAGGAUUUGUAGGGAAAGGGGAUGGUUCUCCCUGACCACCUCCCCAUCCUCAAUUUUUCUACACACUGUGCAUUAAUUGGUCUCCUCCAACUGGUAUCACUCUUCUUGAUAUCCCCAUUUCCUGUUUUCCAUCAAGAAGACAAGGCUUGGCAUUUAAUUAUUUUAUUAGUUCAUGUAAGUUAGUUACCCUGGAUAAAUGGUCAGUGUGACCUCAAAUGUGCAACAGAUUCUUAAACAGGCUGGGGAGAAGCAGCAGAGACGAAAAGAAAGAGUAAAAUAAUGUUUGACAAAAUAACAAGAAAAUUCAGUGAUUUUCCAUAGUGAAGGAGGCGUUCAAGGCCUAUAGACUUGGAAACUGCUUUCCAGAUAUCAAAGAACAAGAUGAACUCCACAACUACUAAAACUGCAACAUGUACAGGAAAAUCAGAAUAGAGACCAGAGUGCAGUGACAUUAUUCUCAUGUAGAAAUAAAAUCCUUUGGAAUAUGCAUUAUAAAAGCAUAGAGCUCCUUCAGGUCCAGAAUUCCAAAAAUCUAUGCAUCAUCUUAUAAGAAUAGGGACCACUUGCCAGGUGUGGUGGCUUAUGCCUGUAAUUCCAGCAAUUUGAGAGGCCAAAGCAGGAGGAUCGCUUGAGCCCAUUAGUUCAAGACCAGGUUGGACAACGUAGUGAGACCCCAUCUCUACAAAAAAUUAAAAAUUCACCAGGUGUGGUGGUGAAUGCCUAUAGUGCCAGCUACUUGGGAGGCUGAGGCGGGAGGAUAGCUUGAACUCAGGGGGUCAAGACUGCAGUGAGCUAUGAUGGCACCACUACACUCCAGCUUGGGUGAGAGAGACCCUGUAUCAAAAAAAAAGAAAAAGAAAAAGUAAAAGAAAAGAAAACACUGAAACUAUCAAAUGUUAACUUGGUAGUUGAAUUUCAGAAUCUUCAGGCCAAGGAGCCUGAGAAAUCUACAGUCAGUGCAAAGAAUCUGAUGCCGGGUAACUGCUGUUUCAAAGCAAAUGUGGCUGUAACAGAGCAGACUCUUGAAUUGUUACCCAAAGAGGGUAACAACCUAGAUAGAUCCAGGAUGAUGAAAAAGGCAUGUCCCAGGCAGGUCCUGGGCAGAAAUGGUGGUCUUGGCUGCUUGUGGCUGGUAAACUCAUUUGAUGAAGAACUAGACGUUAGCAUUAGAACCAUGCUGCAUAUAUUCUAGGAGCAAUUACUCUGUCUCUACAAGAUAAAUGACAAGUGCAAAUGUGACACAUUAAUACUGAAAUUACCCUGGAUUCCAGCCACCCCAACCCACCUCAACUCCAUCACACCAGCCUUGGCACAGUCUCCUUUUGUUAUUUCUAAAAAUCACCAAGAGUGUUACAUAACUCAAAAAGAAGUUCACUCACAUUCUCUCCUGACUUCUUGACAAGGUGUUUUAUCCCGGGCUGCCUACCCUGCCUCUUGGAAUGCAGCACUAACAGAAACUUCUGCCUCUUCCCAGAUGCUGUUCUGACCCUUCAGAUGGUCAAAACUGACUGCUCUAUGGUCAAGUGGGUGUUUGCCUCUCAUACAGUUAGAGCUGUUUCCCAUACAUUUGCAACCCCUCUCCUCAUUGCCUGAUACUUCAGAUGGCUCUCCUCUCUGCUCCAUCUUCCACUGGGAUAUGUGUGGUAGACUGCUUGCAAAAAUGGCACCAACUCUCCAACCCCCACUUCUGUGGAGUCAAUUUCCCCCCUUGAAUAUGGGCUAGCUGUGCAAUUAGCUUGACAAACAGAAUGUAGCGGAAGUGACAUGUGCCUUACCUACAUUGGUUUCUCAGAAUUCUACAACCAUCAAGAGAAAAAAACCCAGCUAGCCUGCAGGAGGAUGAGAGACCAUAUGGGUCAGUCACCCCCAUCAGCUCAGGGGACAGCCAGCCAGCUCCCAGAAGCAAGGCUGCCUAGCUGGCCUGUAGCUCCCGACAGAUGCAUGAAGCAACCUGGCCAAUAUCAGAACCACCCAGCUGGGACCAGCCUAAAUUGCUGACCCCCAGGGUCCUGAACCCAAUAAACGGUUGUUAUUUUAAGCCAUUAAAAUUGGUGGUGGUUUGUUAUAUAGCAAUACAUAAUUAAUACAAUAUGCUAUCCAUGACAAAUUGUCCACAUAGAGGUUAGCUCUGUGAUCAAUUAACUUUCUACAUAGCAGAAAUAUUUGACUCUCCUG